rnacentral:rRNA from 1 species
CCUACGGGAGGCAGCAGUGGGGGAUAUUGCACAAUGGGGGAAACCCUGAUGCAGCGACGCCGCGUGGGUGAAGAAGCGCCUCGGCGCGUAAAGCCCUGUCAGCAGGGAAGAAAAUGACGGUACCUGAAGAAGAAGCCCCGGCUAACUACGUGCCAGCAGCCGCGGUAAUACGUAGGGGGCAAGCGUUAUCCGGAUUUACUGGGUGUAAAGGGGGCGCAGACGGCGAUGCAAGCCAGGAGUGAAAGCCCGGGGCCCAACCCCGGGACUGCUCUUGGAACUGCGUGGCUAGAGUGCAGGAUGGGCAGGCGGAAUUCCUGGUGUAGCGGUGAAAUGCGUAGAUAGCAGGAGGAACACCGGUGGCGAAGGCGGCCUGCUGGACUGCAACUGACGUUGAGGCCCGAAAGCGUGGGGAGCAAACAGGAUUAGAUACCCCAGUAGUC